GCUCGCGUGGCCAAAUGGCACGGCGUACCUCUCCUAUUCAAGGUGCCUGACAGCAGGGAUCUUGGGUACAAGGUAAGAUUGUGGGUUCGAUCCCCACCGUGAGCU
rnacentral:tRNA from 1 species